UGAGGAAUAUUGGUCAAUGGGAGAGAUCCUGAACCAGCCAAGCCGCGUGAGGGAAGACGGCCCUAUGGGUUGUAAACCUCUUUUGUCGGAGAACAAAACCCGGGACGAGUCCCGGACUGCGUGUAUCCGAAGAAAAAGCAUCGGCUAACUCCGUGCC
rnacentral:rRNA from 1 species